ACUCAAAGGAAUAGACGGGGCCCCGCACAAGCGGCGGAGCAUGCGGAUUAAUUCGAUGCAACGCGAAGAACCUUACCUGGGCUUGAAAUAUGCGGAAAUCCUGCAGAGAUGUAGGGUCGGUUCGUCCGGUCGCAUACAGGUGGUGCAUGGUUGUCGUCAGCUCGUGUCGUGAGAUGUUGGGUUAAGUCCCGCAACGAGCGCAACCCUCGCCUCAUGUUGCCAGCACGUAAUGGUGGGGACUCAUGAGGGACUGCCGGGGUCAACUCGGAGGAAGGUGGGGAUGACGUCAAAUCAUCAUGCCCCUUAUGUCCAGGGCUUCACGCAUGCUACAAUGGCCGGUACAAAGGGUUGCGAUAUCGCGAGGUGGAGCUAAUCCCAUAAAGCCGGUCUCAGUUCGGAUCGGAGUCUGCAACUCGACUCCGUGAAGGUGGAGUCGCUAGUAAUCGCAGAUCAGCAACGCUGCGGUGAAUACGUUCCCGGGGCUUGCACACACCGCCCGU
rnacentral:rRNA from 1 species